rnacentral:rRNA from 1 species
AUUGAACGCUGGCGGCAUGCCUUACACAUGCAAGUCGAACGGCAGCAUGAUCUAGCUUGCUAGAUUGAUGGCGAGUGGCGAACGGGUGAGUAAUACAUCGGAACGUGCCCUGUAGUGGGGGAUAACUAGUCGAAAGAUUAGCUAAUACCGCAUACGACCUGAGGGUGAAAGUGGGGGACCGCAAGGCCUCAUGCUAUAGGAGCUGCCGAUGUCUGAUUAGCUAGUUGGUGAGGUAAAGGCUCACCAAGGCGACGAUCAGUAGCUGGUCUGAGAGGACGAUCAGCCACACUGGGACUGAGACACGGCCCAGACUCCUACGGGAGGCAGCAGUGGGGAAUUUUGGACAAUGGGCGAAAGCCUGAUCCAGCAAUGCCGCGUGUGUGAAGAAGGCCUUCGGGUUGUAAAGCACUUUUGUCCGGAAAGAAAUGGCUCUGGUUAAUACCUGGGGUCGAUGACGGUACCGGAAGAAUAAGGACCGGCUAACUACGUG